rnacentral:rRNA from 1 species
AUCCCCAGGCCUCGUCCGCCGUGUUGUGAAAGGAAAGGUUCUCUCGGAGUUUUAAAGGCAACUUUAAUUUGGGGAGGGAAAGGGCCAGUUAAGGGUAAUACACUUCUUGUUUUUGAGCGUUACCGACCAGAAUAAAGCACCCGGCCUAACUUCUGUGCCAAGCAGACCGGCGGUAAUAUCAGAAGGGGGCAAACCGUUAAUUCGGAAUUACUGGGCGUUAAGCCGCGCGUAGGUGGGUUUGUUAAAUUGGAAUGUGAAAGCCCCCGGGUCUACCCUGGGAACUUCAUCCUAAAACUGGCAAGCUAGAGUACGGGUAGAAGGGUGGUGGGAUUUCCUGGUUAGCGGUGAAAUGCGUAGAUAUUGGAAGGGAACUCCCGGGGGCGAAAGCGACCACCUGACGAUGCUGACAUUGAGGUGGGAAAGCGUGGGGAGCAACAGGAUUAGAUUCCCUGGUAGUUCACGCCGUAAACGAUGUCAACUAGCCGUUGGAAUCCUUGAGAUUUUAGUGGCGCAGCUAACGCAUUAAGUUGACCGCCUGGGGAGUACGGCCGCAAGGUUAAAACUCAAAUGAAUUGACGGGGGCCCGCACAAGCGGUGGAGCAUGUGGUUUAAUUUGAAGCAACGCGAAGAACCUUACCAGGCCUUGACAUGCAGAGAACUUUCCAGAGAUGGAUUGGUGCCUUUGGGAACUCUGACACCGGUGGUGCAAGGCUGUUGUCAACUUGUGUCGUGAGAAGUUGGGUUAAGUCCCGUAACGAGCGCCACCCUUUUCCUUAGUUACCAGCACGUUAUGGUGGGCACUCUAAGGAGACUGCCGGUGACAAACCGGAGGAAGGUGGGGAUGACGUCAAGUCAUCAUGGCCCUUACGGCCUGGGCUACACACGUGCUACAAUGGUCGGUACAGAGGGUUGCCAAGCCGCGAGGGGGAGCUAAUCUCACAAAACCGAUCGUAGUCCGGAUCGCAGUCUGCAACUCGACUGCGUGAAGUCGGAAUCGCUAGUAAUCGCGAAUCAGAAUGUCGCGGUGAAUACGUUCCCGGGCCUUGUGCGCACCGCCCGUCACACCAUGGGAGUGGGUUGCCCUUUUCUUUUCUAGUCUAACCUUCGGGAGGACGGUUACCACGGUGUGAUCAUGACUGGGGUAAAGUCGUAACAAAGAACCCCCCCU